GUACACAAAAAUGCACAUAUUGUGAGCUCGAUGAGUAGGGCGGGACACGUGGUAUCCUGUCUGAAUAUGGGGGGACCAUCCUCCAAGGCUAAAUACUCCUGACUGACCGAUAGUGAACCAGUACCGUGAGGGAAAGGCGAAAAGAACCCCGGCGAGGGGAGUGAAAAAGAACCUGAAACCGUGUACGUACAAGCAGUGGGAGCCUCUUUAUGGGGUGACUGCGUACCU
rnacentral:rRNA from 1 species